CACUUCCCUUUAAAAGGCACAACAAUUAAUUUGUGUGUGUUUUCUAUUGGCGGUCCUAAAACAAAUAUAUUAUUUUAGCUAACAAUGAACAACUCCCAGAAUUUCUAUUUGUAGCACCAAGCCAUGGAGAUCAUUACGGAUCACGUUUAUAACGGUACUCUGAGUCUGCAAUACUCUACAACCAACGGCCACAACCUUCCUAGCUAGUUAACAAACGUUGUAGCUAACAUGAUCAUGUUACAUGGAUUCUAGUUGUAGGAGUAAGAAAUUGAACGUUGCUGUUUUGACUAAAACAAGCUAAUGUUAGCUGGCAAGCAAAGUUAGCUAGCUAACGUUAUCUAGCUACCUACCAAAGCACAUUGGCUAAUGUUAGCUACCCAACGUUAGCUGGAAGAACGGCUAGCUUGGUAGCUAGCUAUUCUUACAUGCCUAGUAAAAUACAGAAAAAGAGAGAAGCGGCUAUUGAAUUUUUUUUUUUUUUCAUUGAUCCAAUUAGUUCGUGGGACCACCAGGAGCCUCUUCGUGCAAGUAAACGAUGCAUCACCAAACGAGAGCAUGGAUUUCCAACAACUCAUGGGCAGGCUGAAUCAGAUGCCGGACUACAACACGGUGGCUGAUAUGAACGAAAGGCUGAUGACACAAGUCGCUCAACAAUUCCAACAGCAGCAGCUACAACAGAGUACUUCUCCAGCGCCUGCACUGGAACGAGCAACGGGCGUUCGUCGAGCAAGAUGGAAUAAGCUAUCCAUAAGUUGAAGUCUGCACAACGCCUGUGUACUGGGUCUGCUGGUCAGUCAACUGAGAUUAAGGUGCACAGAUGGAGAGUGGAGCAUGGCAGAUUUUGAAGGCGAGUAGUCUCAUAAAGACAUAGACUGACUGUAUAAUUCUACAUCUUACAAUUUUCUCAAGGAUUUUGAUGCAUAUAACCAUUGCUAAUACACCACACUAACUCCUCAGAUGCAGCUGCAAGUUGAGACUGGUUCCACAGCUUUUAGCUCUGGCCAGUCGGUCAAAAUAACUCUCUGCUGAAGAGAAGCAGUGAUUUGCAGGGGCAACUGAAGAAAUGAUGUCUGAUGUGGAGACAGACCCAGAUUUUUUAUAACUUCCCCACCAUGGCACUCCCCUGAGUUUGAGGACCUGAUUGUAUCAGCAGACUGGAGAAGGACCAAGCGUGCUUAUUGGGAGAAAAGGCUCCGUCAGAAUGAAAACCGGAGCAACCGUCCACGUCCACUGCAGCCCUACCCAAAACAUCUGAUUGUACAAUAGACCACAAUCACCUGCAAAGUUCCACGGUGUCAACAUCACUAAGGAAUUAACAUGGUCCACACACCCACACAGUUGUGAAGAGGACACGACAGCACCUCUUCCCCCUCA